AACGAACGCUGGCGGCGUGCCUAACACAUGCAAGUCGAACGAGAAAUCCGACACUCAGGCAACUGAGUGUCGGAGAGUAAAGUGGCGCACGGGUGAGUAACGCGUGGGUAACCUACCCCUGAAUUUGGAAUAACCCCGCGAAAGCGGGACUAAUACCGGAUGUGGUUCCAUGAGCCUCGGCUUUUGGAAUUAAAGGUGACAUCUUCAUGAAAGUUGCCGUUCAGGGACGGGCCCGCGUACCAUUAGCUUGUUGGUAGGGUAAUGGCCUACCAAGGCUACGAUGGUUAGCUGGUCUGAGAGGAUGAUCAGCCACACUGGAACUGGAACACGGUCCAGACUCCUACGGGAGGCAGCAGUGAGGAAUUUUGCGCAAUGGGGGAAACCCUGACGCAGCAACGCCGCGUGAGCGAAGAAGGCCCUCGGGUCGUAAAGCUCUGUCAAGUGGGAAAAAAGCCUUUCGAUGAAUAGUCGAUAGGUUUGAUGGUACCACUGGAGGAAGCACCGGCUAACUCCGUGCCAGCAGCCGCGGUAAUACGGAGGGUGCAAGCGUUGUUCGGAAUUACUGGGCGUAAAGGGCGUGCAGGCGGUUUGGCAAGUCAGAUGUGAAAGCCCUGGGCUUAACCCGGGAAGUGCAUUUGAAACUGCCUU
rnacentral:rRNA from 1 species